AUUUAAAUAGCUUAAUUAGAGCAUAAUAUUGAAGAUAUUAAGGUAAUAUUAUAUUUUUAAAUA
rnacentral:tRNA from 1 species